GUUUUCUUCGUGGAGGUAUAGCGAACGUGCAUUCCUUUCUUUCUUUUUUGGUUCGCGUCGGUCGAGUGGCGAUAUCCUAUUACAUCCGGAACGAGGACAUAUCGCUUUGCGAUCGCAUACAAGAGUGAGCCAUCUUUUGACGAUGGUAGGAUAAUUAUUGACCUGAGGAAUAAUGUGGAUUUAUGUGGUUGUGAGAAUAGACUUUGUGUUUGUGAGUGUGAAAAUGUGAGUGCGCGCGCUUUUCUGAACCAGGGAUCCCACUUGACAAAGCUGUCCUAACUUGCCCAGACAUGCCAUGAUGACGUCACAGCUGACGUCACAGGAUGUCCGGAACUGGUGGUCAUAGCUGCGAUGCUUUGCAACCUGCCUCUGUGCUUCGUCGCCCAGCGACGGUCAGCGGCCGUUCCGGACCGCUUUCUUCAAGAUGGCGUCGUUGAUCUUCAAUUAAACUCCUUCUCUCCACUCUAUCUCUACCUAUUUUUUUAUUUUUUUAUGGACUCUCGUAGUGCACAACGCUCGGGUGGUCUGGACACGAGAUAGACGUUCCCCAAUUAGUGUGGUGGCUCCCUGGAGGGUGCUGAUUAAUGUGGGGGGUCCCAAUUAGCUCUUAUUGCUAAUUAAACGUGUCCAGAAGCCUUGUAGCGUUGUGCACUAUGAGAGUCCAGUCAUUAAUACUAGUGUUCGUGCACGUACUGAACGUAACCUUCCCGAGAUGUUUCUCCAAUCUCCUCUUCCAACACAAAAGAAAAAAAAAUUGGAAGCCAUUCGUCCAUAACAAAACUUGCGCGAAGAAUGAAAGAAAAGAGGGAAAAUGUUCAGGUUGAUAUAUGAUGCGGGUAAGGUAUCUCCCACGACAAAGCGGUGGCCCCUACAUGAAUCAGGGAUUACAUUUCGUUUGAUGAUAAUAAUUCGCCGACAGAAAGUAAUCAAUAUUUACAUGUUUUUGGCCAUUGUUUGACUGCUCAUGAGUGAUGUAUGUUCAUGUUACUGCAGCAUAGCUGCAUUUCGUCAUAUGUAAUGGCUAAAUUUGUGGUAUAUCGAUCGACACCUGUUCACGCAGAACACACGCUUAAAUUCAAUUUAGUAUGGACCUAAUGCGCGUCCAGAUACAGAGCAAAGCAGGUUAUGGGUUUGGACACAUGGAAACAUUCCUUAGCGUUUCUUGAUUUCUAAAAAGAGAGCGAAAAUGAGCAACAGUGUAUGAGGAGCUCAGGGAUCACGCACAUGAUUAUUGUUGUGCACACAGCGUCCACUUUACUUUGUGUUACUUUAGCGCCGGAGUUAUAGCAUUUAUACACGGCCCACGUCAGUCUAGCUAAAUGACAUAAAAUUUUCAGUACUACCCUGUUUGUUUUGGUCGACCACGAUUUCUGUAUGAAGGUACACAUGUGCAAAUAUAUACCCCACACGCUAAAGGUCACUUCCAGAUAGCAAGUGAGGAGAAUGAAGAAGUCAAAGUCGAGAAUGAAAUAUUAUACCCCUGUCACACGGCCAACCGAAUGACAUGCACAGCGAAUGGCAAUCGCACCGAAUGUCAUUCGUUUGUCUGACACCGACUACACGAAGAAACAGAAUGUCAUUCGUCAAUGAUGUCAGUGUCGAUAAUUAAGACACCAGGGCCAAACAUCUGAAGCAUUAUACAGAUACAUUAGUUAUGUUUUAUUUAUUUUGCUCGAAGCUACCAAAACAUUAGAUUAUUUGCUUUUUGAAAGACACUUAUUUGGCUAAGUACCACUAGCAAAUGUAACAAAGAAGCCCAUCUGAACCGCACUUCGCAACGUGGCGACGGGGAACGAGGGUAGUUCUCCGAAAAACAGUGUUUAGCCUUCCUUCCUUCCUUCGCGCCAAAAGUUAUCAAAGUCGUGAUAAAAUAUUGGAGUAGAACUUUUCAUUCGUUUCUCAUUUCUUCAAGCGAUUUAUCGUUGUCGUUUUUGAUAGCUCUCUACUGCGAGGGUACGCUGCCGAUGCGAGAGGGAAAAGCGAAUGAGUUUGGGGAACUCAUUCGCUGGGCCAAUAUCAUUCGCAUUGCCAUUUGAUUUCAACGUGUGACACUGAACAAAUGUCAUUUAGUGCGAAUAUCAUUCGGUGGGAAUGACAUUCAAUUUUCCAGGGGUAUUACUUGACCGAAACUGUGUAGGCUGGACAUACAUGCGGAGCAGUGUGGAACAGUUGAGCAUUACAUAUCCGCCUGCCAGGUCGUGCACAGUUCUAGACAGAUGUUAGCGGAAUACGGGAAGAUAUUCACUUUUCUACUAUACCGUUACCGCAAGCGGGGCAUGUUCAGAGCGUUGGACGAGCACGCUGGUAGUGACUCAUCGCGGUGGUUUCUGUGUUUUUGGAAAGGAGUUCCCCCACUAAGCGUUUCUUUGGCAGACUUAUGUGAUGUAAUACACUCGCGUCGUAUUUGAGGUCACGCUAAGUUACCUAGGUCUUACAAGCACCACCACUCGUGAACUGAACUCUGCCAGUUCCGUAGUCUAUAGCCUCCAGUUUCAAUUGGUAAACAUCCCUCCUAACCCGAUACAGACUUCCCUCCAAUAUACUUAUAAUUGAUCAUGUCUCUCCUCUUGUGCAGCGUCAAGCGAUACCAGCAGUUGGGAACACGGACCGCAGACCCUGGAUACAACGUCAGCAAUAUUAACAAUUUUCCAUGUUGCUGGCUUCCUCGGCCGGGUUCAAACCCAUGAUCUCGGGAGCAGAAGGCGAACACGCUACCGACCGAGCCACCGAGGCCGGUACUACAAUUUCAGCUGUCCUUGGUCUCGCCUGUGUAGAACAUACAUUUCUUCAUGACCCAGGUGAAAGCUCUCCCUUGAGGGCCCUGUACUUCAAGUGCGAUAGUUGCGUCAUUUGGAAUCCCAUCGCACCAGGCCCGGGUACUUGUUACCUUGAUGUGGUGGAUCCCGAAAAUGUGGACCCGUGUUGCCUGGAGAUCUCUGUGGCCCAAUCAAGGCCAUCGGCUACGAUAGAUACAUGUGUUCUAAAGUCUACAGCGGAGUGUAGUAGAACUUACGAAGCUGCUGAAGAAUCAUUUUCUCGGAAAUAAAAUUGAUGGUAUGCGAAAACCACAUAUACAGAUCUAAUCGAAACGCAG